rnacentral:rRNA from 1 species
UACGGGGGGAGCAAGCGUUGUUCGGAUUUACUGGGCGUAAAGGGCGCGUAGGCGGUCAGCCACAAGUCAGUUGUGAAAUCUCCGGGCUUAACCCGGAAAGGUCAACUGAUACUGUGCGACUAGAGUGCGGAAGGGGCAACUGGAAUUCUCGGUGUAGCGGUGAAAUGCGUAGAUAUCGAGAGGAACACCUGCGGCGAAGGCGGGUGCUGGGCCGACACUGACGCUGAUGCGCGAAAGUGUGGGGAGCGAACAGG